AAUAUAGUAAAAUCUAGCUUUAUUCCCCUAAUCUCUUACUGACACUGCAGCUGGCCGUGAUCUAUUUAGCAUAACACAAAAAUAAUGCAUUCACACCAAACAGAUUCAAAACUCUUUAAAAUAGUGAAAGCUAUUUACUUGAUUGAUUAAGUUAAAGUGUUUACAUAAAAGUGUCAUAUUUUGACAUCAGUCAUACAACACCACAUCUGGUACUUCUAAUUAAAUUGUGUGAAAAAAAAAACUACAUUUUUUAUUCAGUCACAACAAUAUGGCUAAGGGGAAGAACGAACGUAUUCGUCAUGCCUGGAGCCUGGGAUCUGCAGUUGUGGUAUGCGGUGGCUAAAAUCCCCAGAUUUGGAUUCUGCAAAGUUUUCAUAGCCUCCAACACGUGUUUUGUCUGAACAAAGGCUAAGCAACGGAGCCCCACCUCUCUCCCCCUGCAGUUUCCAUUGAAUCUGAUAGUCUGGACCCUCCAUCUAGCAGCCUGGCCGGCAUGGUGGUGGUUUGCAUUCCACAGAGGAGAGGCAGCCUGUAAGUCAGCGCUGGAAGAAAUGAACGCUCCAUUCUCACCAGGCUGUGGCAAGUUGGAAUUAGUUCCUGUUCAUGCAAGCCUUGGGGGAAUCUCUACUUUUGGUAUGCUGGGCAACACGAAGAGGGCAUCCUAG
rnacentral:lncRNA from 1 species